CAGGAGCCGUGGUCGCGUUGUGUGUGGUGUGUGUGUGUGUGUGAGUGAGGGAGAGUGAGUGCGGGACCAGAGGCGGUGGGUGAGAACCGUGGCCGCUGGAGGGGUCCGGGGGGAGAAGCGGCGGAGCCGCUCGCGAAGGCCAAGUCAUGACUACAGUAGUGGUACAUGUAGACUCGAAAGCUGAGCUCACUACCCUGCUGGAGCAGUGGGAAAAGGACCAUGGCAGUGGCCAGGAUAUGGUACCAAUCCUUACCAGAAUGUCUGAAUUAAUUGAAAAAGAAACUGAAGAAUAUCGUAAAGGAGAUCCAGAUCCAUUUGAUGAUCGACAUCCUGGUAAGAUGUGUUCACUUAAACCUGAUACUUUUAUUUU